rnacentral:rRNA from 1 species
AUCGCUAGUAAUCGCGGAUCAGCAUGCCGCGGUGAAUACGUUCCCGGGCCUUGUACACACCGCCCGUCACACCACGAAAGUUGGCAACACCCGAAGCCGGGAACACCGUCUAAGGUGGGGUCAGCGAUUGGGGUGAAGUCGUAACAAGGUAGCCGUAUCGGAAGGUGCGGCUGGAUCACCUCCUUU